GCGGCCCAAGUUGAUAACACACCGGCAUAAAAAGUGGCCAAAAUAAUACUACUAGAGCCAAACAUUUUCAGAGCAGUUAUAAGCUUAUGAAGACAGGAAGCCCCAUCACGAAGGUAGCUCUAAUUUACUUUACCACGAAAGCUAGGACACAAACUGGGAUUAGAUACCCCACUAUGCCUAGCCCUAAACAGAAGUAGCCUGUUAUUUGUCUACUUGCCAGGAGACUACGAGCCCUGCUUAAAACCCAAAGGACUUGGCGGUGCUUUAGACCCCCCUAGAGGAGCCUGUUCUAGAACCGAUAACCCCCGUUAAACCUCACCCUCCCUUGCUUUUUCCGCCUAUAUACCACCGUCGUCAGCCCACCCUGUGAAGGCCUAACAGUGGGCAGAAAUGGCACAGCCCAAAACGUCAGGUCGAGGUGUAGCACACGGGAGGGGAAGAAAUGGGCUACAUUUACUGAAACAGUAAAUACGGACAAUACUUUGAAACAAGUAAAUGAAGGAGGAUUUAGCAGUAAGAAAAAACUAGAGUGUUUUGCUGAAACUGGCCCUAAAGCGCGCACACACCGCCCGUCACUCUCUCCAACAA
rnacentral:rRNA from 1 species